AUUAUAUUUUCUUCGUCUGGAAAUACUUGUCGGAGGAAUUAAGGUAUCUAAACGUAUUUUAGUUCUAGAUACAUUUAUUUUAUCCAUUUCUUUGAUAAGUAUUUUCGGACGAAGGAAGUAUAUG
rnacentral:pre_miRNA from 1 species